UAACUGCUGAGGAGGACUGCAGCUUGGAGAGGUCCGAAUUCAUCCUGCAUGUGGACUCAGGCGGUCUGACACUCAAGUGCAAUGCUUUGAGUUCUAGAAAAGGAACAUGGCAUGGGGAAGGCCAGUUGUGCUCCGUUGAAAAGCAAAAGGAAACCUAGAGUGGUAUUCCAGCUUCUUGGGUUACUGCGGGCGUAUUAACGGGGAAAGUCAGUACAGGGUUCAGGCUCCAGAGUCAGAAAAGCCUUGAAAGGAGUUGGGAUGUAAAGGAUGGGCAAGGUUUAGGUAGGUGGAAAGGAAAACAGGAAGCGAGCAUCUGUGGCAUAGGGCUGGAAACUUUCAGACUGAGUGGGCCAACUGAGUUGGUGGUUAAGGGAAGAAAAGGUUGCAGAGAUCCAGAAAGGUGGUGCCUCAGGCUGGCACUGUGCACUGCUGCGACCACUCCUGCCCGACCUGCCUCCCCAGUGAGCUGCCAUCUGCUGACUCCUUUUCUCCAGCACAAGGCCUCUCACCCUGCUCUGAGGGCUCUGGGACUUCGGUCCUUGAUGGUGGCAGAAAACAGAAACUUGCCUCCAGACCUGUUUGCCUCCGAACCAUGCAACAUGUGCCCUGAGCCUCUCAAACAACUUUCUCAU
ensembl:lncRNA